GACGAACCGUCCAAACGUUAUUCGGAAUCACUGGGCUUACAGAGUUCGUAGGCGGUCUGGAAAGUUGGGUGUGAAAUCCCUCGGCCUAACCGAGGAACUGCGCUUGAAACUACCAGACUCGAGGGAGAUAGAGGAAAGCGGAACUGAUGGUGGAGCGGUGAAAUGCGUUGAUAUCAUCAGGAACACCGGUGGCGAAGGCGGCUUUCUGGGUCUUAUCUGACGCUGAGGAACGAAAGCCAGGGGAGCGAACGGG
rnacentral:rRNA from 1 species